UACGGAGGGUGCAAGCGUUAUCCGGAAUCACUGGGUUUAAAGGGUACGUAGGCGGGACCUUAAGUCAGAAGUGAAAGCUCAUCGCUUAACGAUGAAAUUGCUUUUGAAACUGAGGUUCUUGAGUCUGGUAGAGGUAUGCGGAAUGCGUCAUGUAGCGGUGAAAUGCAUAGAUAUGACGUAGAACACCAAUAGCGAAGGCAGCAUACUAGGCCAGUACUGACGCUGAGGUACGAAAGCGUGGGUAGCGAACAGG
rnacentral:rRNA from 1 species